AGAUGCAUUUAGCUCUGUGCAGUUCAACUGUUGUGAUGUGUCUCUGAUUGGUUGCCCCCAAAGUUACAAUAUCCUGGAAACAAUUACAACAGACCUUAUUCUGAGUUCAAAGCAACUCCUACUAAGGAAGCCCAUUCAGAAGCUGACUGGACAUUCUGGCAGGCCGAGGAUGGAGACUCUCCUGAAAGUGCUUUCAAGCAUCUUGUUGUGCCCGUUGACCUGGGUGAGAAGCCAACAACCAGUGCAGAGUCCUCAAGCCGUGAUCCUCCAAGAAGGGGAAGAUGCUAUCAUCAACUGCAAUUCCUCAAAGGCUUUAUAUUCUGUACACUGGUACAGGCAGAAGCAUGGUGAAGCGCCCGUCUUCCUGAUGAUAUUACUGAAAGGUGGAGAACAGAAGAGUCAUGACAAAAUAGUCGCUACAUUUAAUGAAAAAAAGCAGCAAAGCUCCCUGUACCUUAUGGCUUCCCAGCUCAGUUACUCCGGAACCUACUUCUGUGGCGCAGAGACACAGUAAUACCCAGGCCUCCAAGACCUGUACUCUAACCUAAAGCUGAGCCACAGGUGCUCACCUAGCACAGACGCUCACCACAGGAGUAUGGGGAACUUACCAGAAGGCUCAUCCGUGCUAAAAGACAAACCUAAAGGAAAUUCAGUUGCUUCAAUAUAUAACACAAAAAGCAAGUAAUGGCCUUGAGAUCAUAUCUAAUUUGGCAUUGUUUUCUUGAUAAUUAUUUAAUUGCUCGG